rnacentral:rRNA from 1 species
UCCGGAGGGUGCAAACGUUGCUCGGAAUCAUUGGGCGUAAAGCGCACGUAGGCGGACUGUUAAGUCGGAUGUGAAAUCCCUCAGCUUAACUGAGGAAGUGCACUCGAAACUGGCAGUCUUGAGUAUGGAAGAGGGUCGCGGAAUUCCCGGUGUAGAGGUGAAAUUCGUAGAUAUCGGGAGGAACACCAGUGGCGAAGGCGGCGACCUGGGCCAAUACUGACGCUGAGGUGCGAAAGCGUGGGGAGCAAACAGG